UACGGAGGGGGCGAGCGUUGUUCGGAAUUACUGGGCGUAAAGCGUGCGCAGGCGGUGAUGUAAGACAGGUGUGAAAUCCCCGGGCUUAACCUGGGAACUGCAUUUGUGACUGCAUCGCUGGAGUGCGGCAGAGGGGGAUGGAAUUCCGCGUGUAGCAGUGAAAUGCGUAGAUAUGCGGAGGAACACCGAUGGCGAAGGCAAUCCCCUGGGCCUGCACUGACGCUCAUGCACGAAAGCGUGGGGAGCAAACAGG
rnacentral:rRNA from 1 species